rnacentral:lncRNA from 1 species
CACGAACUUUCGGAUCUCGCAGUCAAGUUCCACCGGGCCAUGCUGAAGAUGCUGAUGUAAGCCGUGCCUCACAACCAGCCGAGCAAACCAUUUGUUGUUCACGGCUGCAGACCGCAAGUCAGUGAGUGUUCCUGGAGGUAAUCCUGGAUGAGUCUCGAAGAGGUGGCGGGAUACAAGGAAGUCCAGGACGCCAUCGCCAAGGAACUCUAGCCUCUGUAUUUGUUUUCGAUUAGAAAAAAAGCCAAGCUGAUAAACCAAGGAACUUACCUGAUAGCAGAGCAAGCAGUUCGGUUGAAAGAGAACCAACCAUACGAGUGACAAUGUAAAGGUUGUGACAAGAAAGAAAUGUUACGUGACCAGUGAAAAAUCUCAUCCGGCGAUGGAAAGUCUGGGUCUGCCCCGUUUUCCAAAAGAUACUGGACAAAUCCAUCACCAGCAGCAGAAGCACCCAGUCGAUGGUGCCGCUUCACUGCUGCAAGCAGCGGGGCCUCUCUGUUCUCACCUGGGACCAGCAUGUUCAAGCUGUCUACAAGAUCUAUGGCUGCGUACGCAGUUUCCAAGUCCGACUCCGUAAUGGCUUGCACGAGUCGCGCCAUUCUCUUGCCGAGGGUCAGAGCCCCGAUCUCCCAUCUUCGACCGCACAGCUGCGACAAGAUGAGCCUGAAACCCGGUAGGCGAGGAACGAACGCUCCCACGUCGAUCGAUAUUGGUGACUCGAGCGCAAGUAGCUCCUCGCCUUGGUGGUCGUAGACAAGAGCGCAAGGACUUGGAAAAACCAGAGCAAUGGUCACCGCUCCGGUAGACUUUGCGUGAAGCUGCACUAGCUCUUUGCCGCCGCUGCCCUCUCCUGGGGCAAACACGACAACGAAGCUCAUGAGGUUGGCUUGUGGUUGCUCCUCUUCAUCUGCGCUAGAAUGGUGAGCGUCGUCUACAAUAGUGAACACGGGAGCCAGCACACUAUCUCCUCUACGAAUGGGCUCAUCAUCGUGUGAGCACUUAUGUGACCACGGAAGAUCAUUCAUCGCUUUCCGCCUCUUACGAUAGUUGUCCGUGGAAACCCAAAACUGACUGUCUGCCAUGCCUCUCAUUAGCACGAUUGGAUCACGGAGUGAUUGCAUCCUGUCAUCCUCGACGUGCACACAAGUUCAUGAGAGAUUCGCUAACAUAUACAAACAUCACCUCAGAGUUGCUCCCCGGCUUUCCCCUCGGCCGCUGUCGCUUCAUCGUAAUCCCAAACCUAAAAUGAAGGAUAGCUUUUGUAGAGCUAAAAGGCCAAGCAUAGUUUUUCUAGGUUUAUAGGUCCUUGAACAGAAUUUACUUGCUUGUUCUUGAGAUGUUUCAGCGUGCCAUGAAUCUUAUAAACUUCAAAGGUGGCAUUGCGCUUGUUUAUGAUGGAGCGUGCGUAUUGGCAACAAAACUCUCCUGGAAGGUAUAGGUGAUGUCGAGGGGUGGCAAAAUGCGCUAUUGUUUUUGCUUGCCAAAGAACACUUCCAUGCGGCUCUUUGGCAAGGCUGUCAAAGGUUUUCUCAAUUUAAUGGAGGAUUUAUUGGAAUUGUCUCCAUGUUCCUCACCUGCAAUUUCAGAAGUUUGCCAAUUUCCAUUGUUUUCAUAUCUUGGAUCAUAUGGAAGAGAUAAACAUUAAGUGUACAAUUUAAGGGUUUAUUUAUCCAGUUUUACAACUAUCUGUCUGUGUAUUCUCUUGAUUCACUUGAAACAAAUGUCCUUCUUAGAUGAUACAUGACUACCUGUAGCCCAAAAAUUCUCCACCAGGCCCUUUGUCAAUUGCGGUACUCAAUCACUCCUUUGCUUAUGACCAUCUAGUGCCUAUCUACAAGUUAUGAUCCUUAUCAUCUUCCUCCUUGCUCAUGCAGCUGGUAGGUUUCUUCUAUAAAUCCCAAGAACAUUUGCAAGAGUAGUGUUUGGAAUGUUGUCACCACCAAUGAUCAUGGAAAGAAUUGCUCUCUUUGCAACUAGAUGAUCACAUGAACGUGCUUUCUUCAUUAGUUGAGGUGAUUGAUGAAUGUUGACGCACAUUUUCUUCUUAGAGUUGCUUGUCAAAAAAUUUUCUAGUAGACUAAUUAUUGGGCAAAUCACUUUGUUGUGGCACACUAGAAAGCUAUUAAUGAUCAAUGCUUUUGUAUAUGAAUCAUCCUUGCAAGUGAUGUCAAACAAGUCCCCUAUAGCUUUGGCCUUUCUUCUUACUUUUAUCAUACUCAUAUACUCAUGAUGAAGUAUUCCUGGCUUGAUAUAGGUGAUCUUUGGUUUUAUCAUGAUCACUUGAAGUAGUGGCCAUCCUGAAGACAAAUUAAGCACUUUGGUUAGAUAUGAAAGUAAUUAGAAAAAAAUACUAUAAAUAUCUUACUAGAUAUGUGUUGUUGGUGCUACUACUUGUUGGUGCUUCUAGUUGCUGUUGCACCUCUUGCUUAUUGCUGCUACUAAGCUCACUGGCCUAGAAAGAGUAGGGCUGUCAGGCAUGAUUCAGCUACUACUUGAUAGGCACGAUCUUAUUGCUGCUAACUAAUUGCUACUAGUGUUAAAGCUUGGCCGGUUGCUCCCUUGGUUGUUACUACUACUGCAAAUUGCUGCCACCGCUGCUUGCUAUCCACUGCUCCUGCUUCUUGCUGCCCUUGCCAUUGGUGCUACUAGUGUUUAUACUUGUUGUUGUUGCUGCUUUUUCUUGCUACUGCUGUCAUUGUUGGUGUUGCUGCUUGCUUGCGCCCACUGUUGCUGUUGGUGCUAUUUCUUGCUUGCCAUCAAUGCCACUAUUGCAUAUUGUUGCCACUACUGUUGCUGCCCCUACUGCUGUUGCUGUUGGUCUUGCUCUUUGCCACUGCUGGUGCUACUAGUGCUGUUGCUUACUACCAAUACUGCUUUGCUUGUCACGGCCACUGCUGUUGGUGUUGCUACUGGUGCUGGUGCUGCUCCUUGCUACCACCGCUAUUGCUAGUGUUGAUGCUUGCCCCACUGUUGCUGCUACUUGCUGCUUUCUACUGUUGCCUCAAUCAUACUCUAAGAUGCUCCAUUCUAAACCAUAGCCGAAUCAAUCCACAAAUGUAAGCAAGGUGAUGGAGGAGGGGAGGAGAAGAGGAGGAUUGGGAAGAUGAGCACUGCAUCGAAGCUGCCCCAUGACAAUGCUCCAUACCUUCCAUGUUCAUAAGUUGUAAUUCAAGGAAUUCCCAAGUUUGUGAAAUUUAAAAAAUUUCAAGUUUGUGCAAUCUAAGAAAUAUUCUCUUUACCAAAUCAAUAAGCAAUCAAUGCAUGUUUCUGGGCACUUGAGGUAAACAAAAACCAAGUAAGCCUCAGUUCAUGUUUGUUUCAAUUUACUUAGUUCAUCUUUUAAAUGUAGAGUGGGAAAUAUUAAUCUUUGCUUUCAUCACUUCCUAAAUAGCCAUUGGUCCUUCAUUAACAUUUGUUAUUUUCCACUAAGACUUAACAUAAUUUUCCAUAUAUGAUUUUGAACACUCAACCUUUAUAUCGUAGAAUUAAUCUUCCACCACUUUAUAGUUAUUAACUCCUUUAAAGACUGGUGAAAGCUUGGAUUUGUACUUUGGAAUUUCUUGUGGGACAAACAUUUACUCAACCUUUUCCUUCCACCUCAAUAAAUUCCUUGCUUUUUACAUUGUUAAUAUUUGCAAUCUUUUAUUUUUUCUCCAUUUUUCUCAUCAUGUUUUAACUUGUGUAUAAGGGUCUUUAGUAGGGCAUUAACCUAUAUUAUUUGCCCUUCCAAAGCAUUUAAUCAAGCAAUGAGCACACCUCCAGAUUCAUAUUUAGAAUUUUUUCACUUUUAAAUUCAUAUUUGGAAGUUUUUUCAUUGGAAUCCUCCUUAUACAAAGAUUCUUUAUCCAUUAGUUCUUGUUUGACCGAAAGCUCCAUCUUUAUAAGCAAUUUAAUAUUUGUUUUUGCUCAUUUAUGCCUUGUCUUACCCAUCUUUUAGUGAUUUGUCUUUAUCAUUCAUUGUAAUUGGGAAAAUAGUUUCGAUACUAAAUUGCAAGCCAUAAUUUUUCUUCUCCAAUUUAUCAAUUUACUUUGCCUUUUUAACCACUUUUGCCUUAGCCAUAGUUAAGUUACAUUCCACUUCUAUUGUAUUAGCUCUUAUUUAAUUCUACCUAAUUUCAAUAAGUCAAUAUACAGAGUAUUAACCAUCUUUUCAUGGAUUCCACUCCACCUGAGCCAAAAGCACCACAUUUGAUUUCCCUUCCAAGAAUAGAAGUUUUUUUUGAACACCUCCUUAAAAGGCUUCCCUAGCAAGUCUAGCAAAUGUUGGCAACAUAUUUAAAGCUAAAGUAGGUGGUCGCACUUUAGGAGCACACUGGGCACCUUCACAUAAAAAGAAACUCAUGGUAGAAAGCUUAAUUGGCUAGAAAGUGGCAAACAAAGGAAAAAAGAGGGGCCUCAAAAAUCAUAGCCUUUAACAUGUGUUCCACAAAAACUACAUAAACUAUGGAGAUUUAAUGUGGGGGUAGUAUAAAGACAUUAGGUUUUCUACUCACUGUUGUGGACCAUAGUGCAUGACCCACUCAAGUGCCAGAAGCAACAUAGCACUUCAUUUUUAUACAUCCACUGCUUCUUGAUGUCCUGAGAAUGCUCUACUACUAUGUUCUCAUAAGUUGAGGUGGGGCAGUACAUGCCCACACUGGCAACAGCUAAGAGAGAAGGUUUUUCAGCCAGCAAGCACACUUUUAAUGCCUAAUUGAUGCACAAAAGCCACAAAUGACUCCUCAUGGCCACAAAAAACAAAAGGUGGAGGCAUAGCAUUGUAAAGCCUUCUACUUAAUCCAGUGGGCAACAUUCGCCUCACGACCUCCCUAUUGGGCAAAUGUGGUGAAAGUGGCUAGCUCUAGAGGAACUGUGCAUGAUGUCUAGAGCUAUGCAUUGCCAACAUCCCUAUACCACAUCCCAAAGACAUGAUCUAAGACAUUGCAGCCAUACAUCACAAUAAGUAGGAAAGGCAUUGCUAGAUUGCUCCCCACCCACACCCACCCCCCGGACUCAAGCUGCUGAUGGGCUAGUCUCGGAGGUUAGGGUAUAUAAGGGCCUCUUCCACCACUAAAAGUCAGCCUGAAUGCCCCCCCCCCCAUAAUAGCUCCUCUAACGUAAUUGUGCUUCAGCUGGAAAGUGAAGUAGCAAAAAGGAGCCAGAUGUUCACUCCUGGAUGACAAGAGUGAGACAUAAUAGAGACAAAAAGAGACAAUGUACUGUAAGAACUCUAAAUGAUGCUACUGGUAUAUCCCCAUAACAUUAUUUUCAAGGAUAACCAAGUGGAACCAGGUUCUUCAACACGUAGAACUGGAGCAACAACUUCAACUUUGCAUCUUAAAACUUCAGCAAUGCACUCAUAAUUUGUUGGUACUGCUUGCUUCUACAGGCUGCUGCUGCUUUGUUUCCCAGGCUUACAGAUCAUAGCCCGGCUUGGGCCUGCUUUGCUCGCUGAAAAGGACAUCUUUGACGAGGUGUUUGAACUGGCCAAAGAGUACUUUAAUUAGGGAGACCCAACAUCACAUACACUUGAGAUUCUAAACCUGAAAUUAAGAGUCUAUUUUGUCUACAACCAAGUGACCAAAGAGUUUUGUCUGAAAUUCUUCCUCGCGCAUCACAUGGGCUACGUGGGCGUAAACAUGGAAGUCCUCGUGGAUUGCCGCAACACCCUCUUUGCGAAAGGCUUACAUCACUGGGUUGGAGGAGCUCUGGCGGUGGUGUUUUGGACGCCAUGGGUUCUUAACUCAAUGUACUCUGAAACGGAGAUUGAUAUCGUCAAAGGGAACCUGCAGACAAUGUAAACUCCCGAGCCCAAGCCGGACGGCAUUCAGGGCUAUGAUCUGCAAGGAACAAAACACCAAAGCCAUGUCAAGCAAAUUUUGACAGUUUGAUAAAUUCUAGGGCUCGCGAGCAACAGCAGCACUCGCGGAAAAACAAAGCUUUGAACCCUAUGCGCAUCUUUGAGGAUGGCCAAAGGGCAACACACUUGCUUUUUUGGUUCUAUCAUAAAAAUUAAGAGAUUUUGUCUGACUUUGCUUUUCAGAAGUAAAGAGUUUUGCUUGAAAUUCUUCCUUUGAAAUACUUUUUUGUCUUGUGAUAAUUUUAUUAACUUUUUAAUGAGUUAAUAAUAAUUUUAUUCAGUGAAUAUUACCAAUAGAUCUUUCUCCUUGUGUAUUUCUUGGCAGGUGCUACCCAGGCAUUAUAUAGCUUACACAGCCCUGGAGAAACAUAGAAGAAGAUCCAUCAUGGGAGCCUCCUCUAUCCUUAGCAUUUUUGAGGGCGCCAAAAGCUUUUACAUACCACCGCACAGCUCUUAUCAUGUUGAUUUGAAUCCUGCUUAUGAUGCAAAGUUGGAUGCUGAAAUUGACAAAUGGUGUAUGGAUUUUUUGAACUCGCAUGAUCUCACUGAUCACAAGGCUCAGUUUGCCAUUCAGAGCAAGCUGGGAAAACUUGCAGGCUUGGCAUACCAGGCCAUUUCUUCAGAGAGACUGCGUCCCAUGGCAAAAUUCUUGUGCUGGUUGUAUCUUGCAGAUGAUUUUAUGGACAAUCCCUCUGUCCCUGUCUCGGACCUGAAGAAUGCCACACUUGCAUACAAGCUCAUCUUCAAAAACGACUAUGAUCAAGCCAUAACUCUGGUGGAAAGUAAAGGCCUUCUGCGGCAAAUGGGGAUGCUUAACGAUGUCUACACUGAUCUAAAGGGUUUCAUGAAUCCUGGACAUAGGACCCGGUUUUCGAAAUCCAUGGUUGAUGUUCUCGACAUGUUUGAGGUGGAAUCAAGUUGGCUUCACAAGACACUGGUUCCCAACUUUGAGAUUUAUAUGUGGAUGAGGGAGGUAACGGCUGGGGUUAUCCCUUGCAUGGUGGCAAUAGACUUCCUUAAUAAUUUUGGGCUGGAAGAGGAAGGAGUGCUAGACGAUCCCCAUAUUCAAACGCUGGAAGCGAUUGCAAAUCGCCAUACGUUCCUAGCCAAUGACAUGCUGUCCUUCAAAAAGGAAUGGGCUUGUAAACAGUACCUCAAUUCUGUGGCACUGGUUGGUUACAGUAGCAACUGUGGCUUAAACGAGGCAAUGGAGAAAGUUGCACAAAUGGUUCAGGAUUUGGAGAAAGAGUUUGCUGACAUCAAACAGAAGGUUCUCUCAAACAAGGACUUGAACAAGGGAAAUGUCAUGGGGUAUGUGCAAGGCUUGGAGUAUUUCAUGGCUGGAAAUAUAGAGUUUAGCUGGCUCUCUGCGAGAUAUCAUGGGGUGGGAUGGGUUUCACCAGCUGAGAAAUAUGGUACCUUGGAGUUCUAGUUUGCUUCUACUUGCAUUAGAAGCUGGUGCUUAAAAUAAAACUGAUACUGGUGAGUAUGAACAAUAAUAUUUUGAAUUUCUCAUACAACUGUUGAGUAAUAUAUUUUCAUUUCUUUCUCCACUUUUUUCUUUCCGUACUAGACAUUUACUUUUUGAUACAACAAAAGCUUAGCACCACAAGUCUAGCAAAAAAAUAGAGAGAACUACGUUAGAUAUUUCCAGAGCUUACUUGGAGACUGGCAAGCAUCUUCAUUUCUUUCUCCACUUUUUCCUUUCAGUACUAGACAUUUACACAACAAAAGCUUAGCACCACGAAGUCUAGCAAAAAAAGAGAGAGAACUGCGUUAGAAAUUUCCACAGCUUACUUGGAGACUGGCAAGCAUCUUCAGAGCCGCGUCUAUCUUUGCAGACUUCCUCGGCUUCUCCUGCGAAGUUUCCACAAGUGAUUCUUCUCCAAAAGUCACCCUUACUUCAGUUGUGGUCGCCUCUGUCCGGAAGAAACUGACUUUCAUGCCUUUUCUCGCGCAAAGCUCCAUAAGAAUGCGCACAGGAUGGAAACGUAGCGUCGCUGGAGUGACCAAAGGCGAUAACAAAGGCAGCACCACUCUCCACAACUUCUCCAAAUCGAAGUUAGUGUCCACAAAGAUGGCACCGGUUAUGCUUUCAAGUAAGUCUCCAAGCACCUGAGAAAAGAGAGGCCAGAAUGUAGAGAAGACCACCGGAAUCUGUGUACGUACCUUUGGGGCCGACAAGUCUUCGAAGCAUGAAGCGUCUGGUUUUUCCUUCACGUUUUGCACGAACUUUCGGAUCUCGCAGUCAAGUUCCACGGAGCCAUGCUGAAGAUGCUGAUGUAAGCCGUGCCUCAGAACCAGCCGAGCAAACCAUUUGUUGUUCACGGCUGCAGACCGCAAGUCUGUGAGUGUUCCUGGAGGUAAUCCUGGAUGAGUCUCGAAGAGGUGGCGGGAUACAAGGAAGUCCAGGACGCCAUCGCCAAGGAACUCUAGCCGCUG